GGAUCAGUUGGUCGGUCGUGCCUCGGUACGUACUGGUCAAAUUGAUUCCUACCUUCUGACGAACCACGAUGUCAUUAAUUUGGUGCGCUGGGGAAGCAGGACUGUUACCUUGAAAAAAUUAGAGUGCUUAAAGCAGGCUAUCGCCUGAAUACAUUAGCAUGGAAUAAUGAAAUAGGACGGCAUGGUUCUAUUUUGUUGGUUUCUAGGAUCACCGUA
rnacentral:rRNA from 1 species